rnacentral:tRNA from 11 species
UGCAGAGGUCGGUUUCGAACCACCAACCUUGCGGUCAUUAAAUUCACGCUCUCACCACUGAGCCAUCUCGC